rnacentral:rRNA from 1 species
GGCAAGUCGUAACACGGUAAGUGUACCGGAAGGUGCACUUGGAACAAACCCAGGACAUGGCUGAGUUAGUCAAGCAUCUCACUUACACCGAGAAGACAUCCAUGCAAGUUGGAUUGCCCUGAGCCAAACAGCUAGCUUACCCACCAAAGUAACCAAACACCAUAAAUAAAAUAAAAUAAACCAAAUACCAAAAACUAAACCAUUCUUUUACCUGAGUAUGGGAGACAGAAAAGGUCACAUCCAAAGCAAUAGAAACAGUACCGCAAGGGAAAGCUGAAAGAGAAAUGAAAUAACCCAUAUAAGCACCAAAAAGCAAAGAUUAAACCUUGUACCUUUUGCAUCAUGAUUUAGCUAGUAAAAACAAGCAAAGCGACCUUCAGUUUGAAACCCCGAAACCAAGCGAGCUACCCCGAGACAGCCUAUUAGGGCCAACCCGUCUCUGUGGCAAAAGAGUGGGAAGAGCUCCGGGUAGAAGUGACAGACCUACCGAGCCUGGUGAUAGCUGGUUGCCUAAGAAAUGAAUAGAAGUUCAGCCUCAUGCACCUCAAACCAAACAACCAAGAUAUUAAGAGAAAUACACGAGAGUUAGUUGAAAGGGGUACAGCCCUUUUAACAAAGGACACAACCUUAUCUAGGAGGAUAAAGAUCACAAUAUACAAAACACACUGUUCUAGUGGGCCUAAAAGCAGCCACCUAAACAGAAAGCGUUAAG